ACCUGGGUGGCUCAGUCGGUUGAGCGUCUGACUUCGGCUCAGAUCAUGAUCUUGCAGUUUGUGAGUUCCAUCCCCUCGUCAGGCU
rnacentral:tRNA from 1 species